UUCAACCCUAUGUCACUAUGUAACUAUGUAUAGUCACACUGAUUUAGGUCAAAUCCAUGGCGCUGGCAUCAUAAAAGUUUUCACUAGGUCUUGCAACCCAUAGCGACCAAUCAGAUGUUUGCUCUCAAGGGUGGCCAGCAAGGCUGCUUCACUUAAUUGGUUGCUGUGGGUUGUUAGACCUGGAGCACUUUGCCAUUUUCAUUAUCCCCCUUGUGUAGCUUUAUAUACCAUUGUUAUGAGUGUGCUCCUCAUCUCCUUCCCAAUAGAUAUUCCCAUUGUAAAGUCGCUGAUUCAGUGGUACAGUGAUACUCAGGAAUGGUGUGGAGAUUGUAUUCCUCCUUCUUAUCCUCUCAUCUGAUUGAUGUUAUGAUGAGACCCAAUCUCCCAUCAGGCUAUAGAAUCAUUUAAUGGGACAGAGUAUCUGGCUUUACCAAUUAACCAUUCAUUUACUCCACACUGCAGCACAAAUGGCCUAAUUGGCUCUACUUUGCACAAGCUAUAUCCUAUACAGGGCAAUCUAAUCUGUAAAUUUAUACAGCAUAGAUAUAUAUUGCCAACAGAGGCAGCUCCUCCCCACAUCAAAUACGUGUCAUUGGUCCGUGGGCCACAGGGAAUGACUUCUGUCCCUUCUGUAGUAAUGUUGGAUUUGUUUAUUAGAGUUAGAUAUUCAAAAUUCCAACAUCUGAGAGUUUUGACCAGUAAUCAUGACUUCUCAAAUCCUUUAUCUACUUCUGAUUAUAUUUGGGGCCAUGAGUUAAUGCUACUCUGGAAGCUGCACACCUGAUCUGUUUGUACAUUACAUGAUAAGAAGGUACAGGUUCAGCUGUUAAACACCGAGGGGCCCAUUCUCAAAUAAAAACUCUAUAAAUAAAAUUUGAUAUACCAUCCUGUUACUGGACUUGCACCUCUGUGUGUGUAUUUGUUGGUUAUGUUUGUAUGUAAUAUACGUGUGUAUGCACAUGUAAUGUGUGUGUAGUUGGGCCUAUCUGGGUUGCUCUAGGCAGAACACAGUCACAUUCCUGAUUAGGGAUGCACAGGGCAAUGUGAUUCCAGCCGGCCCGUACCUGAGUAAAUCUGUUACUGACACAGUGCGGAGCUGCUGUAGAUUUAGAAGCAUAGAGCUGCAUGUUUCCUUAUUCUAGAUACAGUCUGACCUCUACAUUCCCCCUGGCGUUCCUCUUCUAUAGGCACCAAGCUGGGCAGCCUUAUCUUUCCAUGGCACCUUAUGGGCAGAUCUGGCGUAGCCCUGACGUCUCUAUGCACCAUACAUGAGCUUUAUAUAGUCCAAGGGGCCGCAGGGGAUAAUGCACACGUGCAGCUCCAGGGCUAGUCAUUUGGAUCCCUACCAGGCAGCAGAUCUGCCAAGAUGGUUCUGACACCAGGUAAGAGGGAGUGACCCGGCCCAGUAGAUUUGUAACAGAAGGAAAGCAGCAGUGGCUGGCAAGUGGGCAUUAGUGGCACCCCCUGGCAGCUUCGACUUUUGUUUUCCUUUAAAUUAGGUUUAAUAAACAUAUGGGGGCCACUGACUAGGGAUUCUCUCAGCUUCUCCCAAAGGCACAGCAGUGUAAUAAUAUCAGUUUAAAGAAGAGUUUAUCCAAGUAAUAACCCCCCCGCCGUGAAUGGCCAUAGAACAUCAGCAGUAACAUUAAAGGGGUAGUUGACCUUUAAGAUAAAUUAUGUUAUAGAAGGGCUAUAAAGGACGGAAAUGCAGUUCUCUGGGCUCAGAAAUAUUCUGGGCACACAAUAAGCCCUACCCUCAUACUCAUGUCAGGGAAACAAUAUGGCAACUUCCUUCCAUAUGUAUAAAUACAAAUAUACAGAGAAAGAAUAUUCUGUGUGCCUAUUAAUCAGUAUCCUAAUACUGUACUGUAUAUGGGAAAUAAUAUGGCACCUCCCAUCCAUGGGUAUAAAUACAAAUAUACAAAGAAGGAAUGUGUAUACUAAUCUGUACCCUUAUACUACAGGUAAGGGAUCAUUUAUCCAGAAACCCAUGAAUUACAGGAAGCAAACAAUUUUAGAUUUAAAAUAUUUUUUCCCUCUGUAAUAACUAAACAGGGCCUUAUACUUAAAGGUAACUAAGCUGCAUGAAUACAUAUACUUAUAUGCUCACAUAUACUUCUAUGUAUUCAUGCAGCUUAGUUACCUUCAAAUGAUCAAAUUAUUUUUGGCAGACUUAAGGUAUGGUGAUCAAAUAUUUCUUAUCCAGAAAACCCCAGGUCCAAACAAUUCUAGAUAAUAGAUCUUACACCUGUAUAUCAAUAAGGAAGUAAUAUGGAAGCUCCCAGCCGUAUGUAUAAGCAUAAAUACACAGAAGGGAUUUUUUUGCAGUUAUUCCCUGACACUGUACUAUCUAUGUAAAACAAUAUGGCAGCCAUUCUGUACGUACAAUAACUUAUGUCAGUUUCCCAAAGUGUGAGGUGUUCUCCCAGGGAAAUGUGGGAUGCAGCAUUGGGGGGAAGCCACAUUUAUCAAUCAAAAGAAAGGGGCCGGAACUAGGGGUAGGCAGAAGAGGCACCUGCCUAGAGCGCAACGGUGGGGGGUGCCAGGCAGGUACCUCUUCUUUCACCUACCUCUAGUUCCGGGCCCAUUCCCCUCACUACAGUAACCCCCUCCAGCGGCCCCGGCCACUGUCGGGGAUCCAAACUGUUCUGCAGCAGCAGCACAGAUCAGGUGCUCUGUUGGGAGAGACUUCUGGGAUCUCUGUUGCGUUAUAUCCCGCAGGGGCAUGGGGGGCGCUGUCAGAAUCAGCAAGCAGGCAGGUACUAGGAAGCUCCCAAAUGUCUUAUGUGACUGCUGCUUGCUGGUUUAAAUAGAGUAGUGUCCCCAUGGGGUGGUGCAGCUGGGGUGACCCAGGGGUAAAGUUUGUUCUGACAGGGAGCCUCCACUCAUGGGUGCUGCUGUAUGACUGACCAUAACACCAAAGGGAUAAAACAUAUGGGGAAGUAGAAACUGCACAGUACAUUCCCAAUAGAAGGAAAUGGGGAAACAGUUAUUGGCAUUUUUGGGUGGGGGGAGAUAUUAAUUCCCUGAAUCCCUCUUGGAUAGAGUUAGUGGCUUGUUGUGCUGAAGUGUAUUGUGCAGUUCUAGUGAAAGAUCUCUUCUGAUUGGAGGAUUCACUGAUUCAGUGUAACUCAGAAUGUUACUAGUACCAGGACUGAAUCAGAAACUGCCCUGUGACAGAUCUGUGUCUUGGCUGGUUAUUGCAAGGUAUGUGGGUGCCGCCAUGCUGCCUGUGUACCCAUGUAUAUACAGAGGUUGAAUUCCCCUUUAAUAAAUUGUUUCAUCCAUGUUUUAUUUAUAAUAAGUAAGUAGCCAUUUCCACUCAUUAUGCACCACCCUGUGAGUAACUCAUUCAGCACCAUGGCUCACACAUUCCAUUUAUUAAUAGCCCCCAGGACUCUCUAUAGAAUGUACUUAGUGAGCGCUGGGGCCCAAAACUGCUCGGCAUAUUCUAGAUGGGGCCUUACUCGUGCUGUUUAAAGGGGAAGUAUGACCCCCUGUAAGUCUAUACCCCUUUAAUACAGGACAGGACCUUGCUGGCCUCUCCUGCUGCUGUCCUUCUCCAUCAUAGAUUUGCAUUAUUUAGUCCCAUUAAGGGUGCAAGUGGAGGCAGAUAUACAUAACAUUAUAUUUAUUAUCAUUGCUUCUCAUUUACCCAAUCCUCACACCCCCUGGUGCCAGUGACACCUUGUGGUAAAAUUUGUAGCACCCCUUAUUGCUAUAAAACACUUGGCAUACCCUCCCCCAGGCACUUUCCUACCCUGCUGUGUCCACAUAACUGUAUUUCCGCCCCUGAACCCUAAUGGGCAUUUCAGGACCCUCAGUCCUCUCUGGGGGAGAACAUUGCUGGGAAAAGAAGGGUCAAAGUGCCACACUGGGCAUGCUCAGUAAGGGGCUCCCCCACCUGUAGGCCCACCUCCAUCCGUUAUCUCCUUAUGAGGCUUAUGGGAUGUUAAUAUCAUUUCAUUAAGGAUAACUGGGGGGAAGGAGAGUUACUGUAGAAUAGUGCAGUACCCUAAUUUGAGUUAUUAGGGAUCUCCCCUAGUUAAUUUAGGAAAUUCACAGAUAUAUUCAGGUAAUUUUAUUGAAUGAUGUAUUUAUUGCACAAGGACUUUACCUAUUUAAUAAACACUUGGUACAGUCCAGCAGCCCAUAAAAGGCCCAUGGGAAGGAUCAAAUGAAUUGUAGUUCUUUUAUUUACUUAGCAUCACAGUAAUUUCUAGUGUUUAUUGCACAAUUAUUAUGAUUAUUGGAUCAGUUGGAUUGGAUCAAUUAAAGGGGGGAUUUGGGUUUAUCUUGCUGACAGUUUCUGUGGGAAGUUAAAAUAGCGCUCCCCCUUGAGGCGCAGUGAGAGUGGGAAUGAGAGGAACUGAGGGGAGGGGUCUGUGCUGAUAAUCGUCUUUUCUUAUAUUUUAUCUUUCAGUGUUUGCCAGUGAAUAUGGAAUGUUUGCCAAAAUAGUCAUUUAUCAAUAUGUAUUUAAUUUUACACCAUUAUGUUUAAUUCUGUUAUUAUGUUCCAAUCUGGUACCUAGGGAGAGGCUCCCCCCAAUAAGGUGGGUGGUACAGCCCCACACACAUGAAGGUGCCAUUGAGAAGCCGGGAGAGGCCAACAGAAGGCAGGAGAUUGUGGGGACACACUCAGUGUCUGCCCGGUUCCCCCCCCCCCACAUACACUCAGGGGCCUUGAGUUUCCAUGAGUUUGCCAAAAUGUACUAUAUUUCUUAUAAAAAAAAUGUCUCUUUAAUAUGGGCCCGAAAUAGUUACUGUUUACAUGAAAAAAAGUGACUAGAAUCUGAGAUCCGUUUCGUCUAGGAUUUACUAUUUACUAUAUUAAGGCUUUUCCCUGUAAGGUAUAAAUGCACAGAGGAUCAUGGGAUGUUAGAGUAGGAGCCAGGCCUUGAGGUGACAGUGAGCCAAGGUGUAUGAAAGGGGACUGAAAAAUAGGUAUAGUUUGAGUUUAGCCUAUUCUAGCCCAAUAAUGAUUCCCUGUCAGCAAUGAGAGAGUGGCGGCCAAAUCAUUUAUUUCCCAGAAUGCAUUUCCUGGUAUGUCUGUAGCUGCUGGGAGAUCACGCUGUUUACAAACGCAGCCAAGCUGCUAUUUCCUUUCCUUCAUAAUGUUCCCCCUGGCAUAUUAUUGUGCCACUUCUGUGCCAGGCCCAGUGCCAUCUUAUUGAAGAUCAGAGGGUAAGUUACCCUUUGAAAGUUGCAAGUGAAUUUUGAGUAUGUGCUUUUACAUAUCAUUCACCGUUCUCCAACUGCCAUUUGUGCCAGUUAAUAGCAACCCCUGACAAUAUGAGGGAGAAGCCCUGUGCCUGAGCAGCCUGAUGGACAGCUGUCUGUGUCAAGGUGGGGGGUCUGCACUUGUUUCCCAGUUUCUCUCUCUCUGUGACAUCACAGACAGUGUGGGAAGUUUAGCUGGUUCCCAGUUUCUCUCUCUCUGUGACAUCACAGACAGUGUGGGAAGUUUAGCUGGUUCCCGGUUUCCCCUCACUAUGACAUCACAGACAGAGUUGGUAAGACAGCUUGCAGGGCACAGUCAUUUCAUUGCUGGGAUCAGGUGAGUGGGUCAGACACAUGCACACAGGGGGCACAUUAAGGGAAAUGAUACAGAAUAGGAGGGAAAUCACAGGGAAAACAGAGCAGGUAUAAAAAGCUGUGGCUUUGAUAGAUAAAGGGGACAUGUAGCAUUUUGGAACCCCCCCCCCCCCAUAAUGAUGAAUAAUAUAUGGAAUUUUCCAUUAACAACUGCACCUUUAUUAGAGCUCCCCAUGAUCCCGUCGGACCCCGGCCUGUUACAGAUGACAGUUGGUCAUUUCCCAGACACACAGUAGGAUGAGGGCAGCCAAUCACAGCUCAGCUUUCAUACACAGAGAGGGAAACAGCAGUUCCCUGUCAGAUCCACUUGCUGCUGACUGACUCUCCUUCGUCACUACAAAGGGCUGAGAGGAACCAGUUGCCCUGCACAGCUGGGGAAGCAGUUCUACAAAGGGGAAUUGGGUAUGUGUUGGGGGCUGUUCCUGCUGACCUUUCCAUCUCUGAAUCCGCUGAUCCGGAACCGUCUGAUACGGAUCUCAAGUUCCCGAAUCCCCUGUUCCUGAGGUUCCUACUGGACCGCGCUGAGCUCGACUGUUUGAGUUCCUCAGAAUGCUGAUUCUGCAGAAAGUUGUACCACAAAUCUUUGUUGAUAUUGGAAUAUUGUAUUUCAUUAAUCUCAUAAAUAAACAUGAAGAGUUUCCAUUUC